rnacentral:tRNA from 2 species
GUCCGGGUGGCGGAAUUGGCAGACGCGCUAGCUUGAGGUGUUAGUUCCCGCAAGGGAUUAGGGGUUCAAGUCCCCUCUCGGACACCA